rnacentral:rRNA from 1 species
GUACACUCCUACGGGAGGCAGCAGUGGGGAAUAUUGCACAAUGGGCGCAAGCCUGAUGCAGCCAUGCCGCGUGUAUGAAGAAGGCCUUCGGGUUGUAAAGUACUUUCAGCGGGGAGGAAGGCGAUAAGGUUAAUAACCUUGUUGAUUGACGUUACCCGCAGAAGAAGCACCGGCUAACUCCGUGCCAGCAGCCGCGGUAAUACGGAGGGUGCAAGCGUUAAUCGGAAUUACUGGGCGUAAAGCGCACGCAGGCGGUCUGUCAAGUCGGAUGUGAAAUCCCCGGGCUCAACCUGGGAACUGCAUUCGAAACUGGCAGGCUAGAGUCUUGUAGAGGGGGGUAGAAUUCCAGGUGUAGCGGUGAAAUGCGUAGAGAUCUGGAGGAAUACCGGUGGCGAAGGCGGCCCCCUGGACAAAGACUGACGCUCAGGUGCGAAAGCGUGGGGAGCAAACAGGAUUAGAUACCCCUGUAGUCC